rnacentral:rRNA from 1 species
GACGAACGCUGGCGGCGUGCCUAACACAUGCAAGUCGAGCGGAGACAGUGAGUAGCUUGCUAUGAGCUGUUUUAGCGGCGGACGGGUGAGUAACGCGUGAGCAACCUUUCCCAGACAGGGGAAUAACACACCGAAAGGUGUACUAAUACCGCAUAAGACCACGGGAUCACAUGGUUCUGGGGGUAAAAGAAUUAUCGGUUUGGGGUGGGCUCGCGUCCGAUUAGGUAGUUGGUGAGGUAACGGCCCACCAAGCCGACGAUCGGUAGCCGACCUGAGAGGGUGAUCGGCCACAUUGGGACUGAGAUACGGCCCAGACUCCUACGGGAGGCAGCAGUGGGGAAUAUUGCACAAUGGGGGAAACCCUGAUGCAGCGACGCCGCGUGGAGGAAGAAGGGCCUUCGGGUUGUAAAGCACUUUCAGCGGGAGGAAGGC